UACGUAGGGGGCAAGCGUUGUCCGGAUUUAUUGGGCGUAAAGAGCGUGUAGGCGGCCAGACAGGUCCGUUGUGAAAACUCGAGGCUCAACCUCGAGAUGUCGAUGGAAACCGUCUGGCUAGAGUCCGGAAGAGGAGUGUGGAAUUCCUGGUGUAGCGGUGAAAUGCGCAGAUAUCAGGAGGAACACCGGUGGUGAAGGCGGGUCUCUGGGCCGAUACUGACGCUGAGGAGCGAAAGCGUGGGGAGCGAACAGG
rnacentral:rRNA from 1 species